AUGGGGUGAGUCUUGCAACAGGACUAUAGGGAAAGGCCAAGGAAACAGGUGUAGAGAAGAGGCUCCGCCAUCGGCUAGCUUGUUCUAGUCUACAGCAU